UACGGAGGGUGCAAACGUUGCUCGGAAUCACUGGGCGUAAAGGGCGCGUAGGCGGCCUUGCAAGUCGGUUGGUGAAAGCCCGGGGCUCAACCCCGGAGGUGCGGCCGAGACUGCAGGGCUGGAGGCCGGAAGAGGAGGGUGGAAUACCCAGUGUAGAGGUGAAAUUCGUAGAUAUUGGGUGGAACACCGGUGGCGAAAGCGGCUCUCUGGUCCGGACCUGACGCUGAGGCGCGAAAGCGUGGGGAGCAAACAGG
rnacentral:rRNA from 1 species